rnacentral:misc_RNA from 1 species
UGUUCGAGCGUCAUUACAACCCUCAAGCUCUGCUUGGUAUUAAGCCUCACCCGAAAGGGCGGGCUCUAAAAUCAGUGGCGGUGCAUUCGGCUUCAAGCGUAGUAAUUUUCUCGCUUUGGAGGACCGGGUGUGUGCCUGCCAUAACCCCAAUUUUAUCAAAGGUUGACCUCGGAUCAGGUAGGGAUACCCGCUGAACUUAA